ensembl:lncRNA novel transcript
AGGGAAGUGGAAGAAAGCUAGCAAUCACUGGCCUCAUCCAGCUCCCAUGCAGCCGGCAGUUCUAAAGGUCUCAUCUCCUCUAAGCACUUGGUGGGAAGAGUUCAGCCUCAUCCCUCAUGGCAGCUCCAGUCAACACCCAACAGAGACCAACCAAAGCCAAGUUGCUGGAAAGGGACUCUGAGUGGCCAGUUUGGGUCAUGUGACUCCAUUGCCCACGGGAGCAGUCUCUCUGAGAAGAAACAGUGUCAGAGCAGGUGGAUAAGCAACAUUCCUGCCUCAGUCAUAGGCCCCAGUGUUCUCCACUGUCCGUCAGUAAGCCAGGCUUGCUUGUCCUGCACAUCUCACUGACACCAACAGUGGAAGUGCUGAUUUCUUCCUGCUGGGACCAACGGGAGCUGGUGAUGACUGUGCCAUGUUCGGGAGGUCACAUGAGGCCAGCAGAGGAUGGAAGAGACCAGCAAAAAGUAAGCAAGCAGAAUCUUAGCAAAUGAUUCAUGAAACUAAAAGGAGAGGGGAAAGCCUCCAACCCUAAAAGACAAGGUUCAAGGCAGUUUCCACAACAGUCCAGCUCAUCAGUGGCACCGUUGGAGCUGUGUCUACCCCACGGGUUGGAGGAAACUAUCCCACCUGGAUAUGAAGUCUUGAGCAAGCCACAGGUAAAUUCAGAAUUUCCUUUGGAACAAGUUUGGUUGAAAUAAGGAGCCAACAUCCAAAUCUGAAUCCUUAUAAAGUCAUCUUUUUUAUAAUUUAUAAGAAUCUUAGCCAGCCCCUGCAAAUCAACUAAUUUCAGAGAAAUCUUCUUUUUAACCUUCUGGAGUGAGGAUAAAAAUUCAAAUUUUCCUAAAGAAGAGGAAAAAAAAUGAGUUAAACCACAAAGCCAGGGUUAUUUCUCCUAGGCAACUGGAUUAAGGCCAAAGAUCCCAAUGGCAGGGCCAGUUGACUUUAUGACACUCACAUGCUUAGAUGGCACCUUAUUCUCCCAAUACCAAAUGUCUGAA